rnacentral:lncRNA from 1 species
ACUGAUAGGUCUUGAUUUUUCUCGUAUCAGGGAUUUAGUGGAGAAAGUGUGAUCAUGGGUGAUGAGUCUGAAGGAGGAAAAUCGCUUUUUCUCGUAGGAUCUUCCAGAUUUCAUCAAAUCUAGGGUGGAAUAAUUUAAAAAAAAUUUAUCCUAUAUAUAUUUCAGAUUUAAGUCUCUAGAUAUAAUCUUUAUAUCUAAUAUUAAGUCAAAUAAAUCUAAAAGAGAUGAGGAAACAAGUAAUACCUCAAGGGUAAUCUG